rnacentral:rRNA from 1 species
AGUGAACGCUGGCGGUAGGCCUAACACAUGCAAGUCGAACGGCAGCACAGUAAGAGCUUGCUCUUACGGGUGGCGAGUGGCGGACGGGUGAGGAAUACAUCGGAAUCUACUUUUUCGUGGGGGAUAACGUAGGGAAACUUACGCUAAUACCGCAUACGACCUACGGGUGAAAGCAGGGGAUCUUCGGACCUUGCGCGAUUGAAUGAGCCGAUGUCGGAUUAGCUAGUUGGCGGGGUAAAGGCCCACCAAGGCGACGAUCCGUAGCUGGUCUGAGAGGAUGAUUAGCCACACUGGAACAGAGACACGGUCCAGACUCCUACGGGAGGCAGCAGUGGGGAAUAUUGGACAAUGGGCGCAAGCCUGAUCCAGCCAUACCGCGUGGGUGAAGAAGGCCUUCGGGUUGUAAAGCCCUUUUGUUGGGAAAGAAAAGCAGCAGGUUAAUACCCCGCUGUUCUGACGGUACCCAAAGAAUAAGCACCGGCUAACUUCGUG